AUUACAUUGGCAAGUUUCUGGAAUUCUUUCUGCGUUUGGCUGUCGAAGGAUUUGAAUUCGACAUCCCGCUGGAUGACGACGUUUUUACUCAGUUCCUCGAAAUUGCUGACCUGAUAUUCUUUCAUGGCUGUCAGGAUUUCGUCGACUUGGUUUCCCGACAAGUUGAACAAUUUGACGCGAUAGGAACGGUCGUUGGUUACGCGAUAGCCCAGCUGAUAGCGACUGCGUUCAUCGUUGAAUUCACUUCUCAGUUUGAGUACAUUUUCGGCUUUGAUGGUGAAUUCCCGGCGUCGGGAUCUGUUGUAAUUGGGACUUAAUAGAAAUAAGCGGAUCCGCAGUGACAGCUGAUGGCCGUCUUCCAAAUGCAGUGAACUGAUGGCGAUGGAAUUUCCGGAUAAUUGAAUAAGAUUUUGUUUUAGAGUUUCUAAUAAUAUUUUUCCAAUUUCAGGUGGAAACUUGGCGAGGAUAGCCAAUCCAUCGCGAAAUAAAAAAAUUGGGCAGCCGUUCGAGAAUGCGCAUCCGCCAUUGGCUAUUAGUUGCGUCCGGAUGGCAAAUGAAAAUUUGGUGGUCGUCGUAGCCCACGAUGAAAUGACCCAACAUUUCAAACGAAAUGGCGGAUCGGCCGGAUGUGAAUUGACGUUCCAUCCAUUUGGAUUGAUCGGUCGAUAAUUCAAAGAGUUGAAUGAUGCCUGUUUUGCUGCUGCCGUUGGCUAUGGCCACACCCGCCUCGCUGGAUCGGAUCAUGGCGUCCCGACUGAACCGAUGACAGUAAAACGACGAGGAACUCUGAGUGGAAUCGGACGCUGUACGAGACGACUUUACCUUCCGGCUGGGUUGUUGUUGUUGCUGACA